UUGGAGGGCAAGUCUGGUGCCAGCAGCCGCGGUAAUUCCAGCUCCAAUAGCGUAUAUUAAAGUUGUUGCAGUUAAAAAGCUCGUAGUUGAAUUUCGGGAUUAGUACGUUGGUCGUGCCUUCGGUACGUACUGGUGUUACUGAUUCCUACCUUCUGACGAACCAUCAUGUCAUUAAUUUGGUGUGGUGGGGAAUCAGGACUGUUACUUUGAAAAAAUUAGAGUGUUUAAAGCAGGCUCGCGCUUGAAUACAUUAGCAUGGAAUAAUGAAAUAGGACGUUGACCCUAUUUUGUUGGUUUCUAGGAUUGACGUAAUGACUAAUAGGGAUAGUUGGGGGCAUUAGUAUUCAAUUGUCAGAGGUGAAAUUCUUGGAUUUAUUGAAGACUAACUACUGCGAAAGCAUUUGCCAAGGAUGUUUUCAUUAAUCAAGAACGAAAGUUAGGGGAUCGAAGACGAUCAGAUACCGUCGUAGUCUUAACCAUAAACUAUGCCGACUAGGGAUCGGAUGAUGUUAUUUUUAAUGACUCAUUCGGCGCCUUACGGGAAAC
rnacentral:rRNA from 1 species